rnacentral:rRNA from 1 species
UCCGUAGGGUGCGAGCGUUGUCCGGAAUUACUGGGCGUAACGAGCUCGUAGGUUGUUUGUCGCGUUGUUCGUGAAAACUCACAGCUCAACUGUGGGCGUGCGGGCGAUACGGGCAGACUGGAGUACUGCAGGGGAGACUGGAAUUCCUGGUGUAGCGGUGGAAUGCGCAGAUAUCAGGAGGAACACCGGUGGCGAAGGCGGGUCUCUGGGCAGUAACUGACGCUGAGGAGCGAAAGCGUGGGGAGCGAACAGG